CUUCAGAGACACCACUUGGCCCGCCGCUGACACACCCUAAACAAAAUUAUAUAUAAUUCCCUGAAGGAUUAGUACUCUAUCACAAUUCAAUGUUACAGAGGUCAUGUAAUCGUCAACAGCGUUGCCAACUGGUUGCAGCAUCUGCAUCACAAUCUGAGAAAUUCUCUGCAGUCCUGAGUUGCUCACACAUUGGGUCCAUAAAACUGGAGCAAUGGCAAACUAAGUGAGUGUCCUGACUUUUGGAACGGCUAAAAGGUCAGACCCGGAAGACUUCCUGGCUCUGGGGGACUCAUGGGGUAAAAGCAAGUCUGGAACAUAAGAAGGCACAAGCCUGUUAAGAAAGAAUCUGUCAAAUGUGUUCAACACACAAGGAGACAAUGCAACAAUUUAAAAAAAUUAUGUGUUGUGCUGCCAGAUUCUGGACUGUUGUCACGAACUCCUUUGUACACCAUGUGCUCAUCAUUGUAGAUCUUACUCUGCAACAUUUGCACAUGUGGUUGAACAGUACAACUGCGCUACUGGACACUUCAUAUUCUUUACUGACACUCUGCUUUUAACAUUUGUGUGAAAUACAUUUUGUUGUAUAGCAUAUGAAGAGAGGCUUCAUGUGCUAGAGACACAUUCCUCGUGUGUUUUAACAUCCACAA